GACGAACGCUGGCGGCGUGCUUAACACAUGCAAGUCGAACGGUAAGGCCCCUUCGGGGGUACACGAGUGGCGAACGGGUGAGUAACACGUGAGCAACCUGCCCUUGACUCUGGAAUAACAGUUGGAAACAGCUGCUAAUACUGGAUAUUCAUCGUCUCCUUCCUGGGGGGUGGUGGAAAGCUCCGGCGGUCAGGGAUGGGCUCGCGGCCUAUCAGCUUGUUGGUGAGGUAAUGGCUCACCAAGGCUUCGACGGGUAGCCGGCCUGAGAGGGCGACCGGCCACACUGGGACUGAGAUACGGCCCAGACUCCUACGGGAGGCAGCAGUGGGGAAUAUUGCACAAUGGGCGCAAGCCUGAUGCAGCAACGCCGCGUGCGGGAUGACGGCCUUCGGGUUGUAAACCGCUUUCAGUAGGGACGAAGGGUGACGGACGGUACCUACAGAAGAAGGACCGGCUAACUACGU
rnacentral:rRNA from 1 species